rnacentral:sRNA from 1 species
GUGUGUGUGUGUGUGUGUGUGUGUGUGUGUGUGUGUGUGUUCUCUCUAGAGCUGCCUCAACUCCUGUUAAGGCAAGGACAGUGUAUGCACAGGAUUGCACUGGAGCUGGGGUUCCAGGAAACAGUAAGUGGUCCCCUGUGAGGGCAACAGCUGAGCCGUCUCUGCAGCUCUUGAUCUGCCUUUCAAUGGAGCUCAACAGGUUGACUUUGAAAUUCAACAUUUCACAAGAACCUCUUGUCAUGAAUCCUUGUUUUAAGAAUAGUUCAAACAACACGUUUAUGUUGUUACUGCAUUUUUUUCAUGCCUGCCAUUGAGACCACAUACAGUGCCAUCUAACCAGAAAAAACAAUUUCAUUUUUCAUUAUAGUUCCUUUAUACAUAGAUUACAAGGCUAAACCAAUGUUAAAAGGUGGCUAUUUGACAAAAGCAACUAAGGAAAAAGGAGACCAUGAUUUUGGGAGGGAGCGAUGCGAAGGUUUACUGAAGAGGAAGGGGACAUUAUAUGGUCCUUUAACUUUUACAAAAGAUAAUAAAGCCCCAGAUGGUCUCUGGACACAUUCACCUUCUUAAUCCAGUCACUCAACGUGUCAGAGCCAUGAGAGUAGGACUGUGUGCUUUUACACUGCCAUAGAACUUACCAUUCCUUGGUUAUUUUACAAGUUAUAGCCUCCUACCUUUCAAACUAUUUACCAUAAGCAAAAGAUGUAUUGUUCUUGAUACAAAGACUUCUUUUUCUAAAUUUCUGAGUGUGAAAAAAGACUAGGAAAAGCCAAAUGAGUAUAUUACAUAAACUAGGGUACGAUUGGCCAAUAAUAAAAGUAAAAAGAAACUAUGUGGAAACUGCAGUCCAUCUUCAUUUGAAUUUAAUGCUGAUUUUUUUUUUUAAAAAAGCCUCUUGGAAGAAAUUAUUUUUGAAUAAUUCAGUAUUAAUACACUUAAGCAAAUGCAUGUUUCUGCCAGAAAAUCAAAAGAAAACUUCAAGGGAGAGGAAAACUUUUAUUUGUUCUUUCUACCGUACCUCAACUAUGACCUCACAUAACCUAAAAAGCUGCCUCAGAGGCUCUAGAGGGAAGAGCCCCCCAAUGUACCCAGACCAGUUGUUACUCUGAGCAUGAGAAGUCGUUUUCUUCCUGUUAUCAGAAGAGCUGGCGCUUGUGUGUCCAGCCCUCAAUAUGACUGCUUGUGCUUUGGGGACAAAGGGGUCUUUGCACUCUUAUUUAUGGCUUCUUCGUAUUUCCCUACAAUAACCCCAUUCAGAGAAAUAAGGGCAUAUUUGUUUUCGUCAUUCCAUGUAAGCGCGCUCUGAAAGGCAAGAUAACUGCUGGAAAAAUCUACACAGAUUACUGGAAUGCAGAGCUGAGCCGUUCUUUAAGGAACUUGUUGAGGCAGACUUCAGACCCCAGCGAGGGCCUCGUGGGGACCUGCAGUAGGACCAACUGGGGACUCCAGAGUGGACACUUCAUCCCUCAGGUGUGGAUUUUAACAGAGUGAUUACUGAAGCACAGCGCCCUAAAGAACUGGUAACUCAAAGGUAGAAUAUGCGGUGCUGCCGAUGAAUGGAUAUGGCACAGGGGUGCUUAACUUUCGAUUGUUCUAGAUGCCUGUCUUGUGUUUCCAGAGAAAGGUUCAGGAAUGUCAAUGGGACAAUGCUAUUUGAACCACUUCCAGUCAAUAAGUGUGAAAAAUUAUCCUUUUUAUAAAAGAUGUAUUUAUUUAUUUCUACUAAUUAGGAAAAUUGAAAACAAACUACCAAGUAAGGAGAGCUGAGUUUUGGUUCUGAAACAUGCCUUCUGAAUGGGAGUGUCCUAUGGAUCUGGGAAUGGGUGUCCAUUACUCAGGCCACAGUCACUACAUAAUUAGCAUGUCUCCUUGGUGAGGGACGAAUGAAGUGGACGUUAGGGUUGGAUGGUCAGAGCUGACACCAAGUUUCUGGUAUUUAAGGAGCUUUAACUUUUAUUUGGGCUGGGGCAAUUCUAGAUGUUUGAAAUGAAAAUCCAGCAGUUCUCCCAAUGAACACACAACUGAAAUAUAGCCUGUUUUCCCUCUUUAAAGGAGGCACCGGAGAUAUGGUUCUGCCAUUAAGAGCACUGGCUGUUCUUCCAGAGGACCCAGGUUCAAUUCCCAGCACCUAUAAGGCAGCUCACAAGCAUCUAUAACACCAGUUCCAGGGGAUCUUGUGUCCUCUUCCAGUCUCCACGGACAUUGGGCACACGUGUGGUAAACAGACCCCUGCGAACGAUCAAAGAUGGAGAAAUGAGCAGUCCUCAAGCAACAACGCCCUCCUAAUGCGCAAGCGCGCCCGGAGGCCCCGCCCCUCGCGGUCACCCCAAGACCAGGCGCGCGCAUCGGAAGUCAGAACCUCCAAGGCUCCUCCUUGCUCUUCCUCCACAAGGCCCCGCGUUCGCAGUCCGGUUCCGGUUGUAGCUCCGCCCUCGCGCGGGAACACGCCAGAAGGCUGGAUAUCCGGGACGGGAGGCUAGCUGAGCGCUCACUUCCGGUGGCAGCUCGUCCCAUCUCCCUUGAGGGGCAGGCUCUGGCUCUCGGUGCGGUAGCGCCAUCUGGCGCCGAGUGUUCCUCAGCCCGCGGAGGGGCGUGCUUCCUCCCUUCAGAACAUUCCAGAGACUCCUCGGCUCUGGUAGGCUUUAUGCAUUCCGCCAGAAGGGCGGGACCCAAGACUCCUCCUCUGCCGAGUUCCCGCGCGGGAAGGGUUUUGUGGUUACUCUGAGCGGAAAUGGUUGGAGUCCAGAAGGGGAACGGACCUCAAGCGGGAGGAAGCCGGCCUCUUUCCGUCUUUUCAAGCCAUAGUAACACAGUUCCUGCCUCCUCGUGUUCUGCUUUUUGUUUCCUCAUUUCUGGGCCGCGCUCUCUGUACACUGCGCUUCGGUUCUUCGGUCGGAGUGGACCGAGGUCCUCCAUUUCUCGUUUUGCAGAGAGAAGGCUUUACUUUGUAGCCUUUCGUUAGCUUGUGUUAGAAAAAUAUUUUGCUCCAUUACAUCCGUUAAGCGGGUGUUGCGAAAACGAGCAGUAUUAGGGAUUAGGAAAAUUAAUAGGUUUUUAAACCAAGACAGUCUCAGCAGGUUUAUCUCAGAACUAUGAAAUAUUCGCUAUGAUUGCAUGUGGUUCUUUCCUUUAGAUAAGGGGAAACGAAUUUCCACCAAAGCUAGAAAGUGAACAUAACUGUUAAAGGGUUCAUGUUUCAAAGUCCAGAUAUAAUAAACUUGGAGCACUGUUAGGUAUUGUUUCAGUUAUUGUGUAUCAAGACGCACAGUGUAAGUUAGUGAAUUGUCCCUUAUUUGUGCUCACUUGUCACUGGGCAUUUUCCCCCCCUACAGCACUGGUUUCCCUACUUGUGCAUGCAUUUGAAUUCAGAAGACUUUGAAGAGUCCGGUUCACUACAGUUUAGGACUGGGAGAGGUGAUGUGGAAGGAGAGCUGGGUGAUUAAGGCCCACAGUUGGAAUCGUUUAGAAUUCAAGAUUGCUUUGUUGAGAGCGCUGUUUGCUGGUUUUGCAGUAUUGACACUGAAACCCGACAGGUUAGUAGCCUUUCCGGCCAGUGCAAUGGGAGUAAACGAAGCGCUAAAUCCAUGUCUUUUGUACAGUCACACAUUAGGAAAACACGUUCAUAUAAGUAGACUCUGUCGUAGAGGGUGCUGUAACACCAGGUAUACUAAAUUUCUUAAUUACGAUGCCAUUUCUGUCUUCAAAGUUUCUUGAAAAUCGGUAACUCAAAAAAGGACAAAAAUCACUUCAACAGACAUUUAACCUCCUGGAAGAUAAUCUUUUAAAAAUCCCUUUCCUUUUGUAACUUCUUUGUAGUUCAUUCUUUUCACUGAGUCAUUGCCCCUUACCCCUACUAUGUAAUUUAAAAUCUUCACGCUGCUUUCGGUUUUUUUUUGUUUGUUUGGUUGGUUUUUUUUUGUUUUGUUUUGUUUUUUAAGAGCAAGCUUCCUGAAGCCUUUGUAUUCUGAGUUUGACAGUGGCAUUUGACCCUAAGCUAUCGGUAAAUGCCUUACUCUCGGUAACCCUUCCUUUUGUACCCAAUAGAAAUACAGCUGUUCAUAGAUAGGCUUGCCGUGUUCGUAGCUAAAGUUAUUCCUAAAAGUAAUUUUUUAAUACUAAAAAGUUAAGUUGUUUACUGAAGUUGUGAGUGAUUACUAUAAAGAUUAUAUUGCCUUUAAUUACAAGAUAGUGUAUCUAACUGUGAAGAUAAGUGAAAUGGUAUUUUUAUAAUGACUCAGUAAGACUUCCAUUACCAGGCACUAGUGAGAUGGCUCGGGGGUUAAGUCUGGCUCCAGGCAUGCACACGGUACACAGACAUACAUAAAAUAAUAAUACACAUAAACUGCGUAUACAAAAAUAAUAAUAAAUAAAAUAGGAUAUUCUAACUCCAUUGUUUUUAGUGAUUAAACAUGAGAAAAUUCCAAAUCAGAGAUCCCUCCCCGCCUUCCUCCCUCUCCCUCCUUUUUAAUCCUUCUCUCUCUUCUUCCUCACUAACCUGAAUGAGUUUCCAUUUAAAGGGACAUAGGGAGGUAGCAGGGUGCCUUCAAAUAACUGUUAACAAGUAUUUAUACUAAUGAGACAAAAGCACACAUCCUCCUCUUCAUUUUAAACCAGCCUUGUAGUAAAAAAGGAACCCGUGUGUGUUCAUUACUUGCUCCUAUGUGCACACGUGUGUGUCACUUGCUGUGUUUAAAGAGCUUAAUACAUUUGCUGGCUGGUACUUCUCUACGAUGGCUGCGCCAUUGCCAUUUAUCCAGAGUAAUUUUGUCAAUAGGCAUUACAUGAAAUGAUGUUGAAAUUUACUUUCAAUAUUGUUUGGUAAUACUUGACACAAAAAAUCAGGGCUUCUUCAUCAGGCUUUUUUUGAACUGAAAUUUCUAGGCUAGGUCAGGUGGAGCACAUCUGCAGUCUGAGCCCUCAGGAGAUGCAGGGGAUCCAGUUUCCAAAAGCAGUUUUAAAAAGUAAUUUCUAUUACUAAUUUCUUUGUGGUUCCAUUUUCUUUAGUUCAUGCUUCUUAAAUUUUCUGAUAUAUAAAUGAAUGUGUAAUGAAUAUCUGUACAAAAAAGCAUUUUUUAAAGGAAAAAAAAGAGAAAAGCAUAUUCACGAAUGUUUUAAUGAUUCUUUGCUACAGUCAGUGUGCUGUGUAGCUGUUUAAAUUUUCCUUUUCGGGGCAAUGCCUGCAUUUGUGCGUGACUCACAGCAUGCACCAACUUUUUUCCCUGAAAUUCUCAUCAUUUUUCUUGUUACUUCCAGUGGACUCUGCAGACUUCACACUGUCUAAUAAUGUGUUCUCAGACUCUCUAGUCUUUUGUCUUGGUCCAUUUUAAAAUCUCAUCGAAGUUGUCGUUUCAAGCUGGUUUUUGGAAAUAAAUUAGAAUUAAUACUGCUGAGUUCAUCUUAAUGGCUCAUAUUCCCCUGUGGUGAAUUAAAUUUAUUGUUGCGUUUUCAGAAUGAUUUUUCUUACUCAUGAUCAGUAGGAGACCAUACGCUGAGUUACCUGAUCUAAUUGGGCUUAGGAGUAAAGUACAGCCUUUUUAGGGGGAGGUGUGGAGGCCAGCCUUGAACCUGUGAUUCUGCUGUCUCAGCCUCUUGAAUGCUGGGAUUCCAGGCCUGUGCCCACAAAGUGAGAACACUGAGGCAGAUGGUACAGUUUUCUGUUUGGUGAUUAUUACAUUUUAAGAUUUCCAAACUUUAUAUGGAAAAAUUAUCACAUGUAUUUUAUAAAGUAUUAAACUGUAUCCCUCUGCUAGAUUCAGCAGUGGCACAUGCAAGGCUGCCAUAGUCUAAUUCCCAGAGCUGUGACAAACAUCAUAACAGAAGCAGCUUGGGGAGGAGAGGGUCUAUUUUAUCUCACACUUCUCUGUCGCUCCUUGAACCAUCAUUAGACCCAUGCAUGUGUAGGUAACAGUUAACCACAUUAAACUCCACAGGAGCCCAGGAGAUGACUCAGUGGUUAAUUCACAAGGACUGGAGCUUGGAUCCUCAGGCCCCGCAUAGAGGCUGUGGGCGUGGUGACCCACCUGCAGUUCUAGCCUGGGAAGGUGAAGAACGGACCUCAAAACAAGUUGUCUAGGGAGUCCAGCCAUUCAGUGAACUCUGUCUUGGACUGAGAGAUCUGCCUUACUGAACAAGGAAGAAGAAUGAAGAGUACACCCACAUACACACUCACACAUGUGCUUACACACAGAUAGAUGUGUGUAUGCACACAUGCAAAGUACACAUAAUAAAAAUGGGAAAAUACACAGUUCAUCUCUUACAGAUGGGCAAUCAGAGUAGAGUGAAAAAUUACCCAUCAUGGAGGGCCAAUGAAUAAACGACCACAGAUAGAAACUUAAUGGGGACCCUGAAAGAAGAGAGAGAGAAGUAGGACUUUGAAGACAUGAUGAUCAUUAAAACUUCUGGAGCAUAUACUAAAUCUGUUUCUACAUCUUUGGCCUUAACCAAUGAGAAGAGAAUCACACUCACUCUAGCAGGGGCAGUGUGAAGUGUAAGGAAACCUUUGCAACAUCUGUGAGUUACGUUACAGCGUUAAAGCCAGAGAUAAGCCAUCAACUUGCUUCUGCUAACAGCAAUGCUUACGAGAUAUAAUGGCCUUCAGAUUCCUUCACAGCAUUAGUGAAAUUCUGUGGGAAAUCAUGAGAAAUUGUUUCAAAUUGUCAAAAACCACUCCAAAUUUAGCAGUACUUUAAAUAUCCAAAACAUCAAUGUUUUGAGGAGAAAGGGAAUAAAUUUUCUAUAAGCUGUAUUAGACAUUGAACCAUACAAUAUUUUGCUUUGUUUCCUUUGAGAAAAUGUCUUACUGUUGUAGCCCAGGCUGGCCCAAGCUCCAGAGUCUUCUGCCUCUACCUAGAGAAUGCUGAUAUGGUAGAUUUACAUCCAUCAUCUUCUGGCUUGGAACUUUACUGUCCUAAAACGUUUUAAUUAGCCAUUAAAUGCACGUUGUUUUUUGUGGUACAA